AUCCCCGUCGUUCACAUUUGUGAUGUUGGUCUAUACGAUUUUGCUAGCUAUUUCAUUCAAACAAACAAUGGCGGUGCUGUGGAUAAUGCUGUGUGCUUCAAUCUCGUUGAAUUAUACUGACGAUACUUGUUGCCUCCACCAAUCAUCUCGCCUUUUGAGUUGCUCAUCAAGGCUGCUGCCAUACAUACUGGUUAUUCAUUUUUAUGGCUGUGAGCUCCAGAAUGGCUUUUGCACUUAGUGGCAGCUUGCACUUGUUUCUUAGUGUUGCAUCCAGACGACUUGAGAAAGGAAUUCUGGACUAAUUUUUCUACGCAGUAUGUUGUUCCUCCUUGCAUUUCUUGAAUGUCUCAAGUCCAACCAUUCUUAGCUUAUGUUACCUUUCAAGUCCUCCAUGAUUGCUGUAGGGUUAAAUGCCAUGUUACCUUUCUGCACAGUGAAUAUUACGCACCGGGUAUCCAAGUGACAAAACCAACACAAUGCAUUGAAAAAGGUGUGCUUGCCUCGAAGGUAAUAAACCCAACGCUUUUGUCUGUUGUUCCCAAGGAUGGCGUAAUUGCAGAAGCAAAGAGAAAGGCCAAGCCAGAUCUUGACAAGAAUGUGAUGACUGCUGCAAGUAGACACAAAACAAUGCCAGAAGUUGUAAAAAAUGAGUUCGCUAUAAAGGUAAAUAAUCAAAAUUCCAGUUGAACGAUAAUUUUCUGUAACUAUAUAUAAUUAUAUAUCUUGUGAUUUGAUCAAUUAACAAAAACAUGGAUUGAAUUCCUUCAGGUGAGAGAUAAUCAGAACGAUGAGCUUAACAAAAAGGUAACAAAGGUGAAAGCAAAGGCAGUCUAUAAGGAUCUCCUGAAUUCAAAGACGAGAACAAAGGCAAAGCCAGAUGUUGCCAGUGAUGAGUUAAUAGCAAAGGUAACUGGCAUUUUGUUUCCCAGUUUCCCUCAUACAUCACCUGAAAACAGAUAAUCUGCUGUUUAUAGUUAAUAGCUUGAUUUUAAAUACAUUCAGGUGAUCGAUCAUCAUAGGAGAGGUGAGCUGCGUUUACUGACAGUCAGUGAUCUGAAGUGCUUCCUCGGUGCGAAGAAAGCAAAGGUUGGAGGAACGAAGGAAGUGCUAAUACAAAGAGUGACUGAGCUCUUGCUUGACAAAUGCAUUGCUAUUAGCAACUGAGAAGUCUGAACAUAACAAGCAUGUGAUGAUGUGAACCUACGCAAAGUACCCUUUUUUUGUGUUUCUACUUGUUGCAAUUUGAAGAGCCGCAAUCAACAAUAGCCGAAACACUGGUGCUAGAACAAAAUGACGACAGCAACUUGAAUUGUGUGUGUGUGUGUGUGUGUGUGUGUGUGUGUGUGUGUGUGUGUGUGUGUGUGUGUGUGUGUUUUGCGGGAACACAACUAUAAUUUUUCACUUGGAUUUUGAUACGUCAAUACCAGAAAGGCUUAAAGCCUAACUGUAGGUAGUCAUCUAAAAGGCCAUAUCAUAUAUUGAUACCUAAGAUUUUAGGUAAUGUAGAGGAUAGAGUGAGGAGAGAGAGAGGAAGAGGUUGCCUCACAAGGUCAAUGUUUAGGACUGAGAUGAGCCCAGCCAACAUUAUUAUGUUAAUAGUUAGUUGCUUGUACAUUGAUAUGGUUUCUGUAUAUUACUAGUAAUUUACUCGCACUCCGCUCGAGUCUUUAACCAUUUGUUUCCAAAGCUAAGAGAGCAUUGCUGUAGAAAUAUUGGCAUGGCACGCACCUCAGGGCGGUGGUAGAUCCCGGGGCGGUGGUAGAUCCCGGAGCCUCUCAGCGCCACUGCCUGCUGCAUUGCAUUGGCAUGAACUGAGAAAUUUGGAGAACACGCAGCAGGUGAUGGUCAUCAGAAGCUUCAAGUGUCAAAAGGUAUUAAUAAUGUUGCUUGUUUUGAUACAGAUAUGAUAUAUAGCUCUAAAGUCACAUACAUGAUCACAUUAUCGAGUGAAGGCCGCAUAGGAAAGUUGCAGAUCUGAGUAUCCAUUUGUUAUUUCAGUGGGACCCUAAAAAAGAAAUAAUGAACUUUCAUUUUUGUAGAGUUGUUCAAGUUUUGGCAAUAAAUCUGUAAGAUAAGGACUUUAGGACCACACAAAGCUCACAUUUUUAAAACUAUUAAC
rnacentral:lncRNA from 1 species